ACUGGAAUAUCAGAGGAGAAAACAGCCGCAUAAACCAACCGGAGGGUAACUGGGAAUGGAAAGUGUAUGAGACGGGAGAUUGGAAAGAGAAAAAACAUUCUUAUCAGAAAAGAUAAACAUCUUUUCUUCUGGUCAGAUAACAAACUGUAUUUUGAACCUUUCUAUGUUGCAGGCACUGUGCCAGGUGCCAGAUUUAUAACCACAAAAACAGAGAGGCAGAAUGUCUUCAUUUCCAGUGGACAAGACAGACGAUGUCUGUUGCAAUGAGACGCCCGCUCCUACUUCACCUUCUGCCAUGAGUAAAAGUUCCCUGAGGCCUCCCCAGAAGCCAAGCAGAUGCCAGCGCCAUGCUUCCUGUACAGCCUGCAGAACCGUGAGCCAAUAAACUUCUUUUCUUUAUAAAUUCCCCAGCUUCCAGUACUUCUUUAUAGCAAAAAACUACCUAACAAAACAUGUAUACUAUAAAAAGCAUAUUACUUGUGUAAUUUUUUAAAAAAUGAGUUAAGAAAAGAGGUGUCGACACUUCUAAAUUGUGUAACUAAUCAAAGGGAGCAGUAGAUGGAAAAGUAAGAUAUUUUAGUGAUGGCAAAGGGCCCUAUGGGAGUAGGAAUUCCAGUCUGAUAAUAUGAGAAAUAUUACAAACAUUACAUUUUGGCAUCGGGCUCCUCUCCUGGACUGAUGAGUUAGAGAUAGUUUGCGUUUAAUACAAAGGCAAAAGCAGAGAAACAAAUUCAUGCUUGCUCCAAAAAACAAAAUAAACCAAACUUGAAACCUUCCGAAAAGCAUAUGAUUUUUUUAUUUUAUUAAUUUUUAAAGAAUUUCAUAACAAGCCUUAAGAUAGAAGUAGCUUCAUAUGUGAAUGUCAGGUAUACAUUUUCCGAAUACCUCUCACUCUAUAAUAAGUUGGUAGCUAUUUAUUAAGCACCUAUUCCUAGCUUAGCAUUCUACUUGCUGCUAUGUGAUCAUUUCUAAGACAUUCGCACCAUGACUAUUUAACCCUAUGUGAGGGAGAAGCGUGCACUUGAUACUCAACUCUGUUAUCAACUAACACCACCACAUUUUAUUUUAUUUAUUUUUAUUUAUUUAUUUAUUCAUUUAUUUAUUUGAGAUGGAGUUUCUCUCUUGUUACUCAGGCUGGAGUGCAAUGGCGCGAUCUCGGCUCACCGCAAUCUCCGCCUCCUGGGUUCAGGCAAUUCUCCUGCCUCAGCCUCCUGAGUAGCUGGGAUUACAGGCAUGCACCACUGUGCCCAGCUAAUUUUUUUUUUUUUUUUUUUGUAUUUUUAGUAGACUGGGUUUCACCAUGUUGACCAGGAUGGUCUCGAUCUCUUGACCUCAUGAUCCACCCGCCUCAGCCUCCCAAAGUGUUGGGAUUACAUGCUUGAGCCACCGCGCCUGGCCCACCACAUUUUAUUUUAAAAACCCUGCAGUGACAUGGAAGACUUGGUGAUUUACUCCUUAAACCACUAAGAAAACAGCCAA
rnacentral:lncRNA from 1 species